UACGAAGGGGGCUAGCGUUGUUCGGAUUUACUGGGCGUAAAGCGCACGUAGGCGGAUCGAUCAGUCAGGGGUGAAAUCCCAGAGCUCAACUCUGGAACUGCCUUUGAUACUGUCGAUUUGGAGUAUGGAAGAGGUGAGUGGAAUUCCGAGUGUAGAGGUGAAAUUCGUAGAUAUUCGGAGGAACACCAGUGGCGAAGGCGGCUCACUGGUCCAUUACUGACGCUGAGGUGCGAAAGCGUGGGGAGCAAACAGG
rnacentral:rRNA from 1 species